ensembl:miRNA predicted gene, 47286
GCUCCAAGAAGCACAAGUUGGCGCUGGCCUGGGCCCAGGCUGUUGUUGUUCUCAACGUGGUCCGCCACGGGGAAAUAAAAGCGGAGCGGGGCGCGCUCUCCGCCAGAGCGCAGCGCGCACGCCCAGAG